CCUACGGGAGGCAGCAGUGAGGAAUAUUGGUCAAUGGGCGCAAGCCUGAACCAGCCAUGUAGCGUGAAGGAUGACGGUUUUUUUGAUUGUAAACUUCUUUUCUGUGCGAUUAAAGUGUGGCAUUUAUGCCAUAUUGCAGUUAUCUCAGGAAUAAGCAUCGGCUAACUCCGUGCCAGCAGCCGCGGUAAUACGGAGGAUGCGAGCGUUAUCCGGAUUUAUUGGGUUUAAAGGGAGCGUAGAUGGUUUUUUAAGUCAGCUGUCAAAUGUAUGGGCUCAACCCUUAUUAUCAGUUGAAACUGUAAGACUUGAGUGCGGUGUGGGUACAUGGAAUUCGUGGUGUAGCGGUGAAAUGCAUAGAUAUCACGAAGAACUCCGAAAGCGUAGGCAUUGUACCAUAGCGCCACUGACAUUGAUGCUCGAAGGUGCGGGAAUCAAACAGGAUUAGAUACCCCAGUAGUC
rnacentral:rRNA from 1 species